UUUCCAUCGGUAGCCAUGGGAGCCGCAGCCGCGACCUUGCUCAUCUCCUUCCUCUCUCUACUCCUCUCUCCCUUACCCCCAUCCUACAGAGGGCUAUUGAGAGCGCCUGUGCGACACCAUUCAGAGCUGCUGCAAAGGGGGAGUUCGCCACCAUGGGUCACCCAGGGGACGGCAGGCGGGGGUGCUGCAAGCAGCGGAGCCCCGUGUUUUUGGGCAGGCGACGACGAGCUACAAGCGAGCGGCCACCACCAACCACCGAUGCGAUUCGACGGCGGAGAUGCUGCUACACUAGCGUGGCGGAGCUACAACCGUAGUUCGGCGGAGCUACAACCGGCAAAAUAAAUGCUGGAACCGGCGACAACCGUGUUGCGAUGGCCACGGCGGCGAUCCAUCAAUGCUGGGACCAACAAUAUUUUGGCUGGAAGCGGUGAUUUUUUUUGCUACGACCUGCGGUGAUGAUUCAUAGUUUUGCUGGAACCAUUUUCUUUUUUUGUUGCAAGCGUGAUUUCUUUUUGUUACCACCGUUUUGAUUUUUUUGGAAUAAAUAUUCAUUAUUUUUGUUACAAUCGUCUUGCAUUUUUGCUGGAACCAGCGUAUUUUUCUGCUACAACUGUUCUUCAGUUUUGCUGGAACGAACACGCCCUUUUUGUUUGCAAUUUUGACAAUGACGAGCGUGCCGGUGGUGAGCGCCGACGGCGAGCGACGGGCCUGUCGCUGUCGGAGCUGCAAACUUUGCUAUCGGAGCUGCAACUGUUGCCUACAGCUGUUGCAUGCGUGAAGCCAUCGACAAGUGCAAGCGGCGACCGGCGGCGGCGACGGCGACGAGUGUUCGGCCGCCGGCGACGAGGACACCCGGCGAGAGCGGCCCGACGACGAAGACAACCGGCGAGGUGCGGCAACUGGAGAGCGUGUGUCCCGGCAAGGCAAUGAGAGCGAUGAGAGGCAGGAGGAUUUUUUUUAUACGCGCUCGUGAGAAAGACAACUGCAUCAAUCGUGCGGCUGCAAGCAACUCAAUUAAACGGCUGAAACUGGACCGGCGGAAUUAUUAAGCCGGCGCACGGCGCCUAUUAGUCGCCUUCCCAUCAAAACUAGCUGAAAAAUUGAUGGAAAUUCUUAACCCCAUGAAUACGAGACAAUAUACAUGUUUAGUCUGUACAAUUGCUUGCAUGGACCGCUCUUAUAUGCCUUGUACUUGUGCGUAUGCUACUUCCUCCGUCCUGUUACGUACCCUAUUUGACGAGUUCGCUACACUGUUCAUCUCCUUCCUUCCUUCUUGGUGUCUUCAGCUCUUAGCUUCCAGAGGUCCAGUAAUGUGGCGCCGGACUGGGUCCGCAACGACCCAGAUCGCCGCAGCGUGGAUGCUCGACCGCUCCGUGACGACUAUGAAGACAGCCGCCAGGCGCCGCCGCCGCCUUGACGGCGAGCUCGCCAAGAUUGACGAGGAGUGGUUGUUUAGGGACUGCUCCUCCAACGCCGAUCGCGACAAGUCAACUGCCAGGGCUCCGAAGGCCACGUCGGCAGUGGGCGCGGCAGCACUCCCCGCGGCGCAGCAAGAGGCGGAGCGCCCCUCCGCGAGCGGCAGGCAGCCGUGGCCCUCCGGCGUCGUUCCGCCGCCGAAGGGACAACGACGACGACGAUGGCACCGACGAAGACAGCGGUGCGGCAGGGCAAGGCAGCCAUGUCUACGGGUGAUCGUUCGGUGUAGGGUUUAGGGUUUUUUAGCUUUUCUGUUAAACGGUCGAUAUCGAUCUUUUAUGUAAAUUAUGUCCAAACUUCAAUGAAAUUGGCUCGGUUUGAUCGAA